CCAGUGGCGACCGCUGGGCGAUGACCAAUCAUAUCUGGGCGAUGACCAAUCAUAUCGAGUGGCUCCCUUGACAAAUUUGAUGCUAUGUGACCCAAGGCUGGAGACUUUCUUCAGCAAAGAUGGCUGACAAAAAUACCAGGAUGGAAGCAAAUGGACUCCUGAAUCAACCGAUAGCAUACCAGGCAGUCAUCUUGUGAAACAGUGGAUGACCUGAGCCCUAGGACCAUGCCUCAGGACUACCUGGCAUGAUGACUCCUUGCUGUCCCCAGUCCACCUGGCCGUGCUGCUGCUCCAGUUUCAACUGUUCUGCCUGCGGCUAUGGAACCCUGACCUGUUCACCGGACGUGCUUGUUGCACCCUCGACAACUACUAUGAUUAUUAUUAUUUGACCAUGCUGGUCAUUUAUGAACAUUUUAACAUCUUGACCAUGUUCUGUUAUAAUAUCCACCCGGCACAGCCAGAAGAGGACUGGCCACCCCUCAUAGCCUGGUUCCUCUCUAGGUUUCUUCCUAGCAUUUUGGCCUUUCUAGGGAGUUUUUCCUAGGGAGUUUUUCCUAGCCACCGUGCUUCUUUCACAUGCAUUGCUUUCUGUUUGGGGUUUUAGGCUGGGUUUCUGUACAGCACUUUGAGAUAUCAGCUGAUGUACGAAGGGCUAUAUAAAUAAAUUUGAUUUGAUUUAAAA
rnacentral:lncRNA from 1 species